rnacentral:rRNA from 1 species
AAUAGAUACCCAGGUAGUCCACGCCGUAAACGUUGGGAACUAGAUGUGGGGACCAUUCCACGGUCUCCGUGUCGCAGCUAACGCAUUAAGUUCCCCGCCUGGGGAGUACGGCCGCAAGGCUAAAACUCAAAGGAAUUGACGGGGGCCCGCACAAGCGGCGGAGCAUGCGGAUUAAUUCGAUGCAACGCGAAGAACCUUACCAAGGCUUGACAUACACGAGAACGGGUCAGAAAUGGUCAACUCUUUGGACACUCGUGAACAGGUGGUGCAUGGUUGUCGUCAGCUCGUGUCGUGAGAUGUUGGGUUAAGUCCCGCAACGAGCGCAACCCUCGUCCUAUGUUGCCAGCACGUAAUGGUGGGAACUCAUGGGAGACUGCCGUGGUCAACACGGAGGAAGGUGGGGAUGACGUCAAAUCAUCAUGCCCCUUAUGUCUUGGGCUUCACGCAUGCUACAAUGGCCGGUACAAAGGGCUGCAAUACCGCAAGGUGGAGCGAAUCCCAAAAAGCCGGUCUCAGUUCGGAUUGGGGUCUGCAACUCCG